UAACGUGCCCAAGAGAUCGGGAUAACACCUGGAAACAGAUGCUAAUACCGGAUAACAACAGAUGAUGCCUAUCAACUGUUUAAAAGAUGGUUCUGCUAUCACUCUUGGAUGGACCUGCGGUGCAUUAGCUAGUUGGUAGGGUAACGGCCUACCAAGGCGAUGAUGCAUAGCCGAGUUGAGAGACUGAUCGGCCACAUUGGGACUGAGACACGGCCCAAACUCCUACGGGAGGCAGCAGCA
rnacentral:rRNA from 1 species